UCCGGUUUAACACCGGCGGUUUCCUUAGAGUUCCCACCAUGACGUGCUGGCAACUAAGGACGAGGGUUGCGCUCGUUGCGGGACUUAACCCAACAUCUCACGACACGAGCUGACGACAGCCGUGCACCACCUGUCACCGAUCCAGCCAAGCUGAAGGACUAAAUCUCUCUAGUCCGCGAUCGGGAUGCAAGGGCUGGUAAGGUUCUUCGCGUUGCCUCGAAUUAAACCACAUGCUCCACCGCUUGUGCGGGUCCCCGUCAAUUCCUUUGAGUUUUAAUCUUGCGACCGUACUUCCCAGGCGGAGUGCUUAAUGCGUUAACUGCGCCACUGGCCCCGAAGGGACCAACAGCUAGCACUCAUCGUUUACGGCGUGGACUAC
rnacentral:misc_RNA from 1 species